AGACUUUUGCAUCAGUGCUUCAUGUGCGAUCGACGGCUAUGGAUAUUGCCCUUAUCCGGAUCAGAAUUGUUGUCGCUGGGGUCCUCAGUGACAACUGAACGGCAACUACCCGUCAACGACGUUAACAGUACCGAAUAAAAUAAGUCAUUGGGACGAGAGCUGUCUUUGUCGGGUUACAAUACUGCAGUUUUUGCAGAAAUAAAAAUUAAAAAAUGGAGAAAUCA